AUCAAGAAUCAAUUAAUACUUAGCCAUUAAGCUCUCUCUCUCUCUCUCUCUCUCUCUCUCUCUUGAUGAAAGUAUGAACCUAUAAAUAAACAGGAGCUACAUCAAUCUCAUUUUCAGCGAGAGAAAAGGGAAGCUGUAUCACCAGAGUGCUUUGCUUGAUUAAGAGACAAAGAGAAGAGAAGAGAAAGAGAUGCCGCCACCUGGACCGGGAGGCCCACCGGGCUUUGGUUGCUUAGGCGCCCUCUGUAGCGGUAUAUGCCGCCUUUUAUCAUCUUGUGCUUAUGUCCUGUGCUGCUGCUGCCUGUUUGAGAGCUGCUGUGGACCCAUGUUUGGUGGGGGAUUUGGCGGUCCUGGUGGGCCCGGUGGUGGUCCUGGUGGACCCGGUGGUGGACCUGGCGGGCCCCCUCGCUUUUGAAUAUGAGCUGGCUGCUGCUGCUGCCUGUGAUCUUCUGCAUGAUGUUGAGUUUCAAGUUCAGUAUCUAAAUAUACAUGAUGUAAUAACAAGGGAGAGAUGUUGGCAUGUUGCUGCUGUUUUUGCAAUUUGCAAUUCAAUAUUCUCCCGCUUUUAGUCCAUAUUUGAGUUUAUUUGCAAUUUAUUUUUCAUUUGUUUUUUGUUUUUUGAGCAGAAUUAAUUAGUAUUAAUAUUAUGUAACCUUUGUUUACCAGAUGAUGAUCCACCACCACCAUCCAUGACAAUUAAAUAAAAUCUCUUCCUUUUUUUCCCC